CACACUUCAUACAAACUGCAUUAUCUGCACCUGAGCUCGAGCCACCUCCUAAUCCCAGACCUGACUUUAUCUUGUUCCAGAACUUGUUCUUCUUUGACUUUUUGGUGGUACUGCCCCACCUCUUACUGCCUAAAGCUGCUGAACUCAAAGAAGAAGGGUCUAACUUUUCCCCACCUGGAGUCUUGGAACCAGAAGGCUGCGCCACUGACUGCUUAACUUUUCCUUCGAUUAUUGCACUAGC
rnacentral:lncRNA from 1 species